AUGCUGAGAGGGGAAGGAAUGGACUACAGUGAGCUCGUUCCAGUUCCUUUGCUCAUCACCAGCCCAUUUCACUCCUCACCUGCUCAGAAAGCCAAUAAGCCAGCAAACCCACGGGCCAGCGCCGUGGAUCUGCCAGCCACUGGGGCCCCUGCCCGUGAACCAGAGCAGCGACAGGCUGUGGAGAAACUGGAUUGUUCGAAAGUAUUGAGAUGUCGGCUGCCGCCUUCUUUAUCGCCAAAACAGAGAAAGAAGUCCUAUCGGCCGCAAACGAGGAGUGCCAUGGAUGCCCCCACUGCUGGCUCUCCACAGACUCUGACACAGCAGCGUGCAGAGGAGGACCGCUUGCUGAAGCUAUUCCUCACCACGAGAUUUCGCUUGUUGCUCUUGGCUUCAGGACAAGGCUGCUUUCAAAAGCAGGUGACAAAAUGAAUUCCAUAAGGUCUUAAAUAUACGACUUUAUUUUGCGUCAUUUGUGACUGCACGGAUUGCUGGUGAAAAACGAGUGUGCAGAGAGGAGUCAGCUUGCACGGUCUCCUUACACCCUCUGAAACUGGGUGCUGCUCAGAGGGGGGCCCAUCACCCAGAAAAUAAGGACUCCAGAGCCAGACGGCCUGGGUACCAGUUCCCACCAUGCCUUCUCCCAGCUGGUGCACCAGGGAAAAACACUGCACCCUCACUGUCUUGGCUUCUCACCAGUUGAAUCCAAAGUCCCAGUGUGGGGUGAGGGAGUGGGUAAAGUGCUGAGAGUGAAGUCUGGCCUCCAUAAGUAUUUGCUGACGGCGUUAAAGGUGGAGCGACUGGCUGGCAAAAGCGCUCCUAUGUGCUACAACAUCUCUGGGAGGCAGCAGCGCCCAGCACUGCCAAGAGCUGGAGAAGAUCUGCCCUGGGCCCUGCCUCUCUGCCCUCCACGUUUCCUACACCUCUGCGACAGGAGAGGCCUGGGGCCCAUUCCUCAACCUGUUCUGCAAAGGAAAGGUGCUGACUCUUCCUUGGCUCAGGGAGAGCGAUCCCAGUUCCCCUGGAUAUUAUUUUUUUUUCUGCUACUUUUACCAAAUCUCUUUCCAAAUGGCAAGUAUCACAAAUGUGAAUCGCAUCUGCUUUUACCUCCCUUGGCAAAGGGCUUAGAAGCCAGAGAGGGGUCCUCAGGGCUUCAGGCUGGUCUUGGAGAAGCAGUCUUUUUUUUUUUUUUUUUUUGACAGGCAGAGUGGACAGUGAGAGAGAGACAGACAGAAAGGUCUUCCUUUUUUCCGUUGGUUCAUCCCUCAAUGGCCACUGCGGCCGGCGCACCGCGCUGAUCCGAUGGCAGGAGUCAGGUGCUUCUCCUGGUCUCCCAUGGGGUGCAGGGCCCAAGCACUUGGGCCAUCCUCCACUGCACUCCCGGGCCACAGCAGAGAGCUGGCCUGGAAGAGGGGCAACCAGGACAGAAUCCGGCACCCCAACUGGGACUAGAACCCGGUAUGCCAGCGCCGCAGGCAGAGGACUAGCCUAUUGAGCCACGGCGCCGGCCAAGAAGCAGCCCUAAAAGAGAUAGAAAGACUUCCAGCUCCAGGCACAGGCUGACCAGAGCUAGCAUUCUGCCUCUGAUUCCAACCGUGUGCUCUGCAGAGAAGUGGCAACAGCUCACAGGACUCCGUUUCUUCAACCAGAGGAGCUUGGGCAGGCUUCGGAGGCUUGGGCAACAUCUACCCAUAGCCCAAAUAAUCACCUAGCCUUAUAUACCUCAUAGCACAGCCUUUGUUUAACAUUCAAGCUUACAGGGCUGGAAGACGUGCACACACACACACACACGCAGAAACUUAAGUAAGCUAUGGUGAAGACAGCCUAAAGGUCAAAAUUGUAAUAUUAAAUAAAUCUUACAAGAUUUUAUAAACCCUAAUUUAU
rnacentral:lncRNA from 1 species